CAUGCCCUUCCCCCUUCCAGUGUCGUCCCAGCCAGAGUCGGAGGUCUUUGUUCACCUCCCCAAGCAGAGAUGGGAUCUGGUCAAAAGCGGGUCCCACUUGGAGGAAAGCCUGAGCCUAAAAUUCCUUUGGAUCCACCAGUCCAGCAUCUUCACGGUAACUGAAAACAGGGGCUCUGUGGUGGUCGAUGUCCCAGUGGAGGCAUUGGCUAUGCUGCCGCUUCUGGAGGCCCCUUCUCCUUCAGGCCGCUGAUGCCAUGUGGAGUCAGAGAAGUGAAGAGCAGAACGGUGGGGCGGCUGAAAACGGACCUUUGCCACUGACGCCCCUGCGGCCUGGCACUCUUGACAGGGUAGCCCCAUGGGACGACAGCCAUCAGGCACAGGAUGCACCCUGCCAUGUGCACCAAAUCCUCGCUGCCCCACAGCCAUGCCAGGAGGCCCGAGGAGCCCCAGGAAUGCAGGCUCUCUUUAGGGUGGCCCAGAGCCUGGAAUUUACCAAAAUGGCCGUCCCCACCGUCCUCUUCUUCCAGUGGCGGGUUCGGGAAGGGAGUUGCCUGUCUCAGUGGCUAUGCCGAGGACCAUUCCAUCCCACCAUCCCCAGGACCAGAGACCCCUCCAGCAGGACGCCAUCUGCUGCCUCUUCCCAGUUCCAGGCUGCAGGAUCAGCUGCCUCGGGAGCCUCCGGGAAGGGCUUUCUCAGAGCUGCGCUCGCCAGCCUUUCGAUGGGCUGGCCAAUGCAAGUCCGCCUGUGGUUUCCUCUGAAGGGCCCAUCCCAAGAGGCCUUGGAGGACCCUCUUACCCCCAUUCUUCCAGAGGGAACCCCGCUCUGACCUCUGGCCAUGUCUCCUCCUCCUCCAAUUCAGAACACUCCCCAGAGAAAGCUGGGGCCCCCCAGAGCUCCUAUCUGAGGGCAGCCCCCCUGCCAGCUGUCCUGCAUGGCUCACAGCCUCCCAGGGCCUUGAGACUCAGCAAAAGGAGGCAGCAGGGAGAGUCAGUGGCUGUGCACACAAACAGAGAGUAGGAAACUGAGGCAUGCCUCAAAGGACUUGUGUCUGGAGCCUGGGGGCCAGCCUGGAGAACCAGCUGGAGGUCACAGCUCCCACAGGCCCUCCUCUGGGCUGCCAUCCUCAGGGCAGCUGAAACCCACAUCCUCCUAUUUCUGAUGCUUUUUCUCUCUCCACUCCUCUCUCCCUGAAGACGGAGUUUGGGCCAUUCCUGCAAACAGCCAAACCUCUGGAAGAAGCAGGGAAGCUACCAUCUCCCUUUUCCCAGAGCAAUGCAGGAUCAGCGUGGUCCCCAGGUUCCCCCGGGGGAAGCGGGGUUAUCUAGACACCUCUCCUUCAGCUGCACUGUCCUCAGAGUCCUAGGAGUUGUCGAGGCUAGCCCUGGGUUCCCGCCAGUCAUCCCUGCCCCCAUGGUCCUCACUGUGCAUUUGUCCUCAGAUGUCUCCUCUCCUCCACCUCCUCUCUGGGGUCUGAACAGUCCACAGCACUCCUGGUCUCAGGGUCCUCUGUCACCCUAACUGACUGUUUAGGAACUAUAAGGCCCGAGCAGGACCCCGCUCAGCCACCAGGAAGUCCCCUCCAGCUGGGAGGGCUGUCAGUGGGCUGUGACUGCAACCGAGUCCACGCAGGGGGCCAGGCCAGGCCGGCAAGGAGGUCCUGCCUUUGACAAGGCCCUCGCUGACCACUCUGGCUGAAGAGGCAUUGGGUUCCCACUGUCCCCUAAAGAGCCCCAGGAAACACUCUUCACAAUGGGGGCUGCGGGGCCACCCCAGAGGGGUCCUGGCCUUCCUGGGAAGGGGGCCGCAGGGGCCCUGGACCCAUCAUCCCCAGAAACAACUCAGGACAUGGAGGGGCCAGGACUUGCUCUCCUGCUGGGGAAGCUUGUCGUAGUCACUGCCCCAUGGCAAAUACCUCCAAGGGGUGGUGGCAGCAGCCAGACCCGUACCUGUCUGAGGGCCUUGGGACUCGAGCCCGUGGGGAGAAACAGAGUGGGACCAGCACUUCCUCUGCCAGCUCUUACUGCUGAGCAGCUGCUGGCAGAAGGCAGUUGCCUGACAGCCCUUCUGGAGAGCCCUCUGGCCUCCACCUCCAGGAAGCCUGCAGCCUGACCUGUGGGAGGGUCAGCUAGAGUCCGAGGCCCAGAGUCAGCCCCAAGCUGACCAUGGGAACAGGAUGAGUGGGGGGCUGCCUAUGCAUCCAGCAAAUGCUGACCCCAUGGGCUCCUGUGGACAUUUCCUCGCCUGGCCUGGCCAGGGGACAUCCCCACAGGAGCAGCUGACAGAGUCCACGUUAGCCACCACCCCUGAAAGUCCCCGGCCUCCUGAGCUUCAGAAUGUCUGGAGGGGCUUCUGAGAGAACGCCUCGCCAGGGUGAGUCAUGGGAGUACCCCAGGGGACACCAGGCACAAAGGAGUGGGGAGGGUGGUGUCUUGGCAUCCUUCCCGUCAGCCUGGACCUCCCCUGAGUGCAGGAUAACACCCCUUGGCCUCUCCCUGCCAGCCCAGUGUCUGCGUGCUUGUCCUCUUGCUGUUAAAUGUGGUGAGGCAAUGGGGGGUGAGGGGGUGAGGGGCAGGGUGCAGGCUCUGCAGCCAGGCUGCUGUGGUCCAAGUCCUAUCCCACCACUCUUUAGCUGUGUGACCUUGGGCAAGGCACUAACCUCUCUGUGCCUCAGUUUCCUGAUCAGUCAAAUGGGAGGAUGAUAAUCAUUCCUGCCUGAUGGGCUGUGGAGGGGUAAGUGAGGAAAUGAAUAUAGAGCCUUUAGCACAGGGCCGGGCACACAGCAUAUGCUCAGAACCUGUGAGUUGUACUUGAGGUUAUUGCUGCUAUCGAGGCAAAUCAGAGCAGCCCAAUUCUUGGGCUCCCAGGAGAGCAUGGAAGGCACAGUUCAAACAUCUUGCGAGGGGGGUGGUAAGAUUGUAUGACGUGAGACGCCGCUACCCCAGGCCCCAGGGGGCCAUGACCCCAAGUCUCUAAAGGACCCCGUGGGAGGAGAAUGAGGAGUGUUACUGUUUUGCCUUCAUGACUCACCACUCCCUUCCUCUGGUUCCCAUGGCAGCAGCUGGUACCCUGCUGGCCUGGACUGCUCCAGUGACCCCUGUUGUCCCUGGGGGGACAUCAGCGCUCCUAGGCACCCUGGCCCAGAAGCCCAGCCAUGGUCUGAGCCAGAGCAGCACCUGGUGCUUCCCUGGAAGGAUGGCACCCCCGCCCCUCCGGGCCAGCCCAUCACUGGAAGUGGGAUUUGAAACACAGCCAAGGAGAGGAGGCCGUCGGCAACGCCCGGAAUGCG
rnacentral:lncRNA from 1 species